UCGAACCCAAACCCGUGCCUGCUGCCGCCGCCGCCGCGCUCGAUCCAAUCCUCUGCCGCCAUCGCCGCCGCGCUCGAUCCAAUCCUCUGCCGCCAUCGCCGCCGGCCUCGCGCUCCACCCAGUCCUCAAUCCAUCGUCCCGGAGCUCGCACUCCCCCGCCGCCGGCUUCGCGCUCCACCCCGUCCUCAAUCCGCCGUACUCAAUCCCUUGAGCUCCAGCCCUAGAUCGAGGCGCCAUCCUCGCGCUGCACAUCUAGCCGCCGUCCGCGCACAACGCCCCUCCCCCCGACGUCCAGCCGCCGUCAUCGCCAAUCCCCGUUCUGCGGCUGCCGGGGAUCCAUCUCCCGGCUCCCGCUGCUGCUGUACCUGCUGCUGCGGGGUUCCAUAUCCGGGCUCCUGCUGCCGUCGGAGCUCCAUCUCCGGGCUGCCGCUGCUGCCGGGGUGCCGGCCCUGCUAUUGUUCGACUUCUGCCCUGUGCUGCCGGGCUCCAUCUCCGGGCUCAUGAGAUCCGUCCCCGAGACCCGUCCGUCCGCCGCCCCCAACCCCAAUCCCAUUCCACGUCCCAUAGUCCCCGACUCCAUCCCUUCCUCCCUUCCUUGGAGCCACAGCCUCCGACAACUCCGUCCGCUUGGACCUCUGGCUGGAGGGAGUGGGCGUUGCUAGAGCAACGUGCAGUGGAAGAAGCAGCCUAUGAACUAAAAUAGUUUGCAUAAGAAACAAGCGAUGUACUCAACCAUCUAUUGCACAUGGAUGUGAUGACUUCAGGGUGUUCGGCAGCAUUUGGCUGUUACAGUAUUUUGGACCAGCCAACUUGUGAUCAUGAAUCUUAUGUCUGUUCUAGACCAUUUGGUGCUUGAAGUGUUUUGGAGCAUAUAUCUUGUGCUCAUGGGUGUGACUUUGUUCUGUACCAUUUAGUGUUUGAACUCCUGCAGAACAACAAAUAGUGGUCCUUUUAUGUGGCUUGUGUUUGCUGGAUGGUGGUCAAAUGGCCAAACUUUGCUUUGUCAAGAUUGUCCUGUUUUUGAACUUAUGAUCAGUAUAUGUAUGUUUGUGAA